GAUGUUAAAAUGGCGAGAUCCAACCAAGCUCGGGUAAACGGCGGGAGUAACUAUGACUCUCUUAAGGUAGCCAAAUGCCUCGUCAUCAUACGAAACAUAGGGGAACCUGGGGGGGGGACAAAAAGGGGUGGGCAGGCGCGAGCCUUUUCACCUCGUCUCUCUCUGGGGGCCCCUAACGGUAGGCUCGCGGUCGGUCACAGCAUGGAACGCCCCCUUUCCCCUCGUGCCCUUUACUGGGCGUGGGGGGGCUGGGGGGGGUGUGAAGUGAUAAUGGGGGGAGGGUUGACACUGGGCGUUUACGUUUAGGACUCCCUUCCCUGCACCAAAUUAUGCGGAUGGCUGCCUUGGUGGCCUGAUGCGUAGCCAGCCCCGGGCAACUGGGGAGGGUUCAGAGACUAUAUGGUGCUACGGGGCGCCCCCUUUUACUCGUUCUCCUGUACCCCAACGCCUUAGGGCAACGGGGUGUGGGCAGGGCGGGCCUUGGGUACGUGCUCCUACGAGAGAUAGUCCAUCGCCAGGGUGGGAAAAGCUGUUAGCGAGUGGUCUGCACCUGGUGUUCUCGUCCCCCCCCUUUCGUUAAGGGGGGUGGGUGGGCACGCCCGGGAGCAUUGGCCAGCGGCUCGGUUGCUUUGUACCAUCCGCCUUUAGAUGUUAAUUUGUGACGCGCAUGAAUGGAUUAAUGAGAUUCCCACUGUCCCUACCUACUAUCUAGCGAAACCACAGCCAAGGGAACGGGCUUGGCACAAUUAGCGGGGAAAGAAGACCCUAAACUCAAUGGGGUCAACAGGGGGCGGGUGGCAUGGGGAUUAGUACUUGUUCCAGGGAUGGGCAGGGAAUCCUCCUGUGUUGCUUGUGUAACCCUCUAGUUGAGUCAGCAAGAACCUCCUCCUGUCAUUCCAGGGAGGGGGGGAAACUGUGAGUAGCUGACCAGCAAGACAACCUGGUACGAGGGAAACCUGAGGUCAACGACACGUGCGGCUUCGGCUGCUAGUGGGUCUAUACUCAGAUAAUCUCGUGGCGAGCCCUUAAGAAAGGCCGUCGUAACGCGCGGUAAGGUGUCGGUUAGGGGGGUCUUAAACGAUCCCCUUGGCUUAAGGAACGUGCUAUCCCCUGGGUGACCAGGUGCUNAACUGGAGCGCUCACAGCGUAAAGGUUAACAAUAAUUUAUUUUGGGCUUGCCCAUUAUUUAUUAUGGAUUACAGUAGGCAAAGGUUCGUUACCAGCAUGCUGGGGUGUGGUUGCAUAUCGCGACUGCAUUGUCUAAAUUGCGGCAGGGUUGACUGCGCCCGUCAGGGUGCACGAAUAAACACUUUGUUGCAUGAGGACAGAACCACUUGGCGCCAAAGAUGCAUCCAUCAGUCGAAAUAUUGAGGGCCUGGCUCGCAAAGUAGACGUGGUGGGGGUUGACACAACACGGAGCACCCUUUCCAGUUGCGCCUUUCCCCCUUUUGCAUCGGUGGACAGCAUUCAGUGCGAUGUUACGGUCAUUGACUGUAUCGUAGUGCUGUGUAUCUAAGAACACUCGUAGUAGUCUGGCGGUUCGAUACUUGCCCUUCGACCCGUCGGACGAAAUCUUGAGUUCGUGGUAGCCGUCUUCCUUGGUCGCUGGGACAAACCAACAGUCACUAACCUAGUAGGAAGGGUCAGUACGCCCCUGCCAAACAGUUGGUGACAUACCACAUCGCUGGGUUCAUUGAUAAGCUGAACAGCCAACGCUUCUGAACUUCUUGGGCCAUGAACGCCUUUCUGGCGUCAUCCUUGAGGUUUCGGGGUAGGCAUAGUACGCCAUCGCAGAUGUCCCCAAAGAUAGGGUGGUCCGCAUCAACGAGCCGCAUUAUGCGGAUCAUUUCGGUGUAGACUGCCUGCUGGAGUUGUUCAUUGCUUGGUGCUAGAAAGGAAGAAAGACGCACGGACGCGUGCGUCUCUUAUCCAAAAAAACUGGCAUCGGGCCUUACUGUAAAAUGGUUGAGCUUGACUCUAGGCACAAAAGCGAGGUGAUUCUAAAGGCGUAGCAUAGGUGGGAGGACCUGGUCCGACCCUGAAAUACCACCACUUUCGACAUUGCCUUGCUAAUGCUGUAACGAAUGAACGGCCCCCUGUUUGUCGUGCCUCACGGUGCGGCGGCAGGUAAGGUCAUAUUCUGGUGUUUUCCCGGUUGGUCAUGAUGGUCUGGCCCCUCUGGGCGAGUACCCUGGGACCGUGCGUUGGGCUUCCGAGUCUGACAAACGUUGCUCCCGGGGGAACCAGGGAUGGUUGGACUGUCCUCUGUCUGGCCUCGGUAGGGUACAUAAGUUGUGUAGCAAACCAUUUGUGUUGGGGAGUUUGGCUGGGGCGGAAAACUGCUACACGGCAACGGCAGUCUCCUAAGGUCCACUCAGAGACGACAGAAACGUCUCGUAGAGCAUAAAGGCAAAAGUGGGCUUAACUUACAUUUUCAGUAGUAAUGUGAAGCAAGAAAUUGAGGCUUAACGAUCCUUAACGUCGGGUGCCAGCCCGCGUUUGAGGUGAGAGAAAAGUUACCACAGGGAUUGAUCUAUAACUGGGAGUCCCAAGGGGCUAACACCCCUUAGUUCCCGUCCGUCCCCCGUUCUCUGCCAAAGGGAGCGGGGGGUGGAUGAGAGCAACGUACCUGGAUGCUGGGAAAGCCUAUACCAAAUGACAACGGUACCAAGCGUUCUGUAGGUAAACUGCAGCGUGAAGGGUGCCCUGCCUCGGUCCAAAUAAGCCUGGACAGAGCGUAGGGCGCCCGGGUUAUAAUCCGUUGAUCAGGGCCCACUAGCAGGCAACAAGACCAUCCAUCCCACGGUAAGCUGUACUUGACGGNUAGGCCAUGUGUGGGGGGAACGGUGGUUACGUGUCUCAACGACUGGAAGGGUACGGGUGCGGUCGCUUUGGUCUGAACGGCUCCUCAUCCCCCGGAAACGGGCGGUUAUGGGCGAGGGCUAGUAGGAUCGGGUGGUCGUGCUCAAGGUACAGUCUACCCCCGCUCGUAAGAGCGUCUUCGGUCCUUGGCGUCCUCCCAUUCGGCUGGGAAGGGCAUCGAGGCUGGGAGGGUGUUGGGAGGGAACGUAUUUUACGUUCGCUUUCGGUGCCCGGUACUCGGGAACUGGCUUGUGGCCGCAAGCGUUCAUAGCGACGUGGCUUUUUGAUCCUUCGAUGUCGGCUCUUCC
rnacentral:rRNA from 1 species